AAAUUUUCUGACCAAUAGGUUUAGGUCUUCGAAUUUCUCAUCUGAAUCUUCUUCCAUUGGUAAUUCAGAAAUUUCAGUUUUGAGAGCAAUGCUCUUCCUCUUUUUGUCGGUUUCCUCGAAUUCAUCAAGUUGUGAGAGUUCGAGUUCAUGUUCUUGCAAUUUUCCGAACAAGGCAGCCAAGCUCAUAGUUGAGAGACUUUUCUUUUCGGAGAUUGCGGUCACCUUGGGUUGCCACGCCCUAGACAAAGAUCUUAGAACUUUCAAGUUCAAUUCACUUUGUGGUAGCGUUUUGCCAAGUGCUUGAAUGUGAUUAGUUAUGUGAAUGAAUCUCUUUUGCAUGUCACAUAUCUUCUCAUUUUGCUUCAUUCUAAACAUCUCAUAUUCUUGAGAUAGAGUGUGUAGUCUUGAGUGUUUUACUUCUUCCGUACCCUCAUGAGUUUAUCUUAACUUUUGGUGCAUAAGAUUUGAAGAUGUGAUUUCAGCUGAAGGAGAAAGAUAUUGUUGUCAUUGGCCAUCCCCUAUAAAUCAUGCCUUUUUGAUUUCUAUUGCUGUUUAAACAUAUUUUUCCUUUUUUGCA
rnacentral:lncRNA from 1 species